UACGAAGGGUGCAAGCGUUACUCGGAAUUACUGGGCGUAAAGCGUGCGUAGGUGGUUUGUUAAGCCUGAUGUGAAAGCCCUGGGCUCAACCUGGGAAUUGCAUUGGAUACUGGCAGGCUAGAGUGCGGUAGAGGGUAGUGGAAUUCCCGGUGUAGCAGUGAAAUGCGUAGAGAUCGGGAGGAACAUCCGUGGCGAAGGCGACUACCUGGACCAGCACUGACACUGAGGCACGAAAGCGUGGGGAGCAAACAGG
rnacentral:rRNA from 1 species